UCGCUGGCGGCAGGCCUAACACAUGCAAGUCGAACGGCAGCGCGGGGAGCUUGCUCCCUGGCGGCGAGUGGCGGACGGGUGAGUAAUGCGUAGGAAUCUACCUUGUAGUGGGGGAUAACCUGGGGAAACUCGGGCUAAUACCGCAUAAUCUCUUUGGAGCAAAGCGGGGGAUCUUCGGACCUCGUGCUAUAAGAUGAGCCUACGUCGGAUUAGCUUGUUGGUGGGGUAAUGGCCUACCAAGGCGACGAUCCGUAGCUGGUCUGAGAGGACGAUCAGCCACACUGGGACUGAGACACGGCCCAGACUCCUACGGGAGGCAGCAGUGGGGAAUAUUGGACAAUGGGGGAAA
rnacentral:rRNA from 1 species